rnacentral:rRNA from 1 species
AUUGAACGCUGGCGGCAGGCUUAACACAUGCAAGUCGAACGAGUGGCGGACGGGCGAGUAAUGCUUGGGAAUCUAGCUUAUGGAGGGGGAUAACUACGGGAAACUGUAGCAAAUACCGCGUACAAUAGGAUGAGCCCAAGCGGGAUUAGGUAGUUGGUGAGGUAAAGGCUCACCAAGACGACGAUCCCUAGCUGGUCUGAGAGGAUGACCCGCCACACUGGGACUGAGACACGGCCCAGACUCCUACGGGAGGCAGCAGUGGGGAAUAUUGCGCAAUGGGGGAAACCUGACCGAGCCAUGCCGCGUGAAUGAAGAAGGCCUUCGGGUUGUAAAUUUCUUUCGGUAGCGAGGCGUUAACUACAGAGGAAGCACCGGCUAACUCCGUGCCAGCAGCCGCGGUAAUUC